CCUACGGGAGGCAGCAGUGGGGAAUAUUGGACAAUGGGGGCAACCCUGAUCCAGCCAUGCCGCGUGUGUGAAGAAGGCCCUCGGGCUGUAAAGCACUUUCAGUGAGGAAGAACGCCUGGUGGUUAAUACCCAUCAGGAAAGACAUCACUCACAGAAGAAGCACCGGCUAACUCCGUGCCAGCAGCCGCGGUAAUACGGAGGGUGCGAGCGUUAAUCGGAAUUACUGGGCGUAAAGCGCGCGUAGGUGGCUUGAUAAGCCGGUUGUGAAAGCCCCGGGCUCAACCUGGGAACGGCAUCCGGAACUGUCAAGCUAGAGUGCAGGAGAGGAAGGUAGAAUUCCCGGUGUAGCGGUGAAAUGCGUAGAGAUCGGGAGGAAUACCAGUGGCGAAGGCGGCCUUCUGGACUGACACUGACACUGAGGUGCGAAAGCGUGGGUAGCAAACAGGAUUAGAUACCCGAGUAGUC
rnacentral:rRNA from 1 species